rnacentral:rRNA from 1 species
CAUGGAGUUGAUCCUGGCUCAGAUUGAACGCUGGCUGAAUGCUUUACACAUGCAAGUCGAACGGUAGAGGGGGCAACCCCUUGAGAGUGGCGAACGGGUGAGUAAUAUAUCGGAACGUGCCCAGUCGUGGGGGAUAACGUAGCGAAAGUUACGCUAAUACCGCAUACGAUCUAAGGAUGAAAGCGGGGGAUCGCAAAGCCUCGCGCGAUUGGAGCGGCCGAUAUCAGAUUAGCUAGUUGGUGGGUAAACGGCCCACCGAAGGCGACGAUCUGUAGCUGGUCUGAG